GUAAGUAUAGUUUAAGAAAAACAUCAGAUUGUGAUUCUGAAAAUAGGGGUUAAAAUCCCCUUACUCACC
rnacentral:tRNA from 1 species